rnacentral:rRNA from 1 species
GUGCCAGCAGCCGCGGUAAUACGGAGGGUGCAAGCGUUAUUCGGAAUUACUGGGCGUAAAGCGCGUGCAGGCGGGUGGACAAGUCUGAUGUGAAAGCCCUGGGCUCAACCUGGGAAGUGCAUUGGAAACUGUUCAUCUUGAGUGCUGGAGAGGAAGGGGGAAUUCCCGGUGUAGAGGUGAAAUUCGUAGAGAUCGGGAGGAAUACCAGUGGCGAAGGCGCCCUUCUGGACGGCAACUGACGCUGAGACGCGAAAGCGUGGGGAGCAAACAGGAUUAGAAACCCCCGUAGUCC